rnacentral:rRNA from 1 species
AACGCCCCGCAAGGGGAGUGGCAGACGGGUGAGUAACGCGUGGGAAUCUACCGUGCCCUGCGGAAUAGCUCCGGGAAACUGGAAUUAAUACCGCAUACGCCCUACGGGGGAAAGAUUUAUCGGGGUAUGAUGAGCCCGCGUUGGAUUAGCUAGUUGGUGGGGUAAAGGCCUACCAAGGCGACGAUCCAUAGCUGGUCUGAGAGGAUGAUCAGCCACAUUGGGACUGAGACACGGCCCAAACUCCUACGGGAGGCAGCAGUGGGGAAUAUUGGACAAUGGGCGCAAGCCUGAUCCAGCCAUGCCGCGUGAGUGAUGAAGGCCUUAGGGUUGUAAAGCUCUUUCACCGGAGAAGAUAAUGACGGUAUCCGGAGAAGAAGCCCCGGCUAACUUCGUGCCAGCAGCCGCGGUAAUACGAAGGGGGCUAGCGUUGUUCGGAAUUACUGGGCGUAAAGCGCACGUAGGCGGAUAUUUAAGUCAGGGGUGAAAUCCCAGAGCUCAACUCUGGAACUGCCUUUGAUACUGGGUAUCUUGAGUAUGGAAGAGGUAAGUGGAAUUCCGAGUGUAGAGGUGA